UUUAACAUGAAUUGAGUUAUGUGUUUCUUGUUAAAUGGAUCAAAUUUCAACAAAGCCCGGGAAACAUCUUGAAAAUCACAUGAAUGCAAUUUCCAAAGAAAACAAUCCAAGAAUUACUGCCAAAAAGUUUUAUUUCCACUAGGAAGGAAAAGAAGAGUUUCAUUUUGCCCCCCACACAGACUGUAUGUUCAAUCUGUGGUCUGCAGUGGAAAAUUCUCCUGAUUUUGCUCAAUUCAGGGGAGGAGAGAAAUGAAGGAGGCUAUUGUUAUUUGAGUGAGUGAUAAAACUGUCUUUCUUUCUCUAGUAUUAAUAUGUUAUUAGCAUUUUCAAUUUGAUUCUACAAAUAUUGAGUUUUACUGGUGUGUGUGGUACAAUGGGAAGCAGGACAAAAAGCUUAACACGCGAUGACUGUCUCAUGGGCUUUACAAAUUAGACCUACAAGUAGGGCACUGCCAGCCCACACGGAGUCCUUGUGUAAAUUAGAAAAAGAUGACCCUUCCAGGCAGAUGCAGCCUUGUGGGUAACCAGUGAGCAACCAAGGGACAUUUGUGCAAAUUAGAAAAAGCACCUUCUUCCUCUGGUGGGCACAAUCUUGCACCAGAGUGAACAUCUUGAUUUUAUCCUCCCUCCCUGUUGACAAGGUGCUUUUAUGCAGGAUACAACUUGCCCAUGUGACUGCAACAGGACAUAUAAAGGGAUCAUCUGAGAAUUACUCAUGGUCAAAAUGGAAACAAUGCAACCACCAUUCUCAAACUUCAGUGAGUAGAAGAAUCAUGGCAGCUUGCUAAAAUGCCCGAGUCUCAUCUCAGAUAUUCUGAUUCAGGAUGACUGAGGUUACCACCUCAUUGGUUGCUGCAUAUCUGCAUAACCACACUGAAGCAUCCAGGCGCUUUCUGUGUGAAAGGCAGUUGAGAGAAGUUGGGGCUUGGCAUCUGAGCAGAACCUUGACUCUCUUCAAAAGGGGGCUGACACACUGGAGAAACCCUGGAGACCAACAGCUGGCUUGCACAAAACUCGGACCUCAUUGCUCUUCAAAUAUUUAUGAAUAAUUUUCUUCAACGUGUUUGCUAACUGUUAAGAAUAUUAGUUUUUGCUGGUCUUCUUACUCAUGGCCCAUCUGAAGUCCCCUGGCCUGACCCUCCUGUGAAGUCAUCCCGCUGAACGGGCGCCACCGGGUCGGGGCAUUGCCAUAGUGUCAGCCCACGGGGCCAUAAACACAGGCUUUGCUGGAUCCCUGCCCCUUCAACUGGGGGAGGCUGGGUGGUAAGAUGAGAAGGCGCCUUCCUUCCAGCCCAUUUUCUCCAAAGCAGCAAGUUUCGAGAACGUCACAUUUGAUACAUGGCAUAGAAGAGGAAUAUCCUCAAACACAACUUUCGGGUGAGCUCUUUGGGUGUAAAAUGCAAAGAUGGGAUGAAGAGACAUUGCAGCCCUCUGAUUACUCACUUGGGGGAAGUAGAUCAAGGCUAUGAUGUUGCCUGACAGUGAUGGUUGAAGGCAGCUGAGUCCUGUCAUGGAAAAUGUAAAGGCCCUCCCCUUUUUCAUUUCCCUCCAGGAACUUCUGCCUGUAGUAAUAAAGAAUCCUGUGUUCAUGCCUGUGUUGCUUCAUUUUAGGAGCUUGACUUUUAUAUGAAUCUUUGUCCAUGUGCAGGGCUGUCGACUAUUGUUUCUGCCUCAGCUUACCCAUGAAGAAAGGGAAGUGUGUGACAUUAAAUGAUUUGCCCAGGUCACCCAGAAAGUCAGUGAUGGAGUCUACAAAAGAAAGGAUAAGUUGUUUUUCUUCGUUCUCUACCUCAGCCACCAGAGGAAAUCGCAGCAAAGUGUCCAGGAUGGUUCAAUAAUCAGCCCUCCUUCCUUCCCAUGACCAGAAGCCACAGUUAUUUCCAUGAGGAUGCUGGUGUUUGGCUUCCUUCCUGCCUCAUUUGACUGAGUUGUCUUUGCUGUAGAGCUUGCUUUUCUGUAAGGCCAACGCUGUAUCAGAACCCAUGGAUUAUAAGCAAUAUUCACUGUGUGCCGAACCCUUAACACUAGGCACUGGGAGACACCAUGAGGGGACCUAACCCAUCUACAAUAUAAAAAUAAGCCUAUGGAACAGAACUGGGGGAACCUAGAAAGACCUGCUCUGGGGAGCCAUUUAUACCUGGCUUUGAAUCUCAGGGCAGUCACUUAUCAGCUGUGUAGCUUUGGGGAAGUUACACAAUCUCUCUGAGCCUUGCUUCCUUCACUUUCAAAAUGGAACUUGUAGCAUCUACCACAAGAAGAGUAUUCUGAGAAUUUAAGAAGCCUAUUUAUACAUGUAUAUCUAAAUGUGGGCAUACAAUGGCAAAUGAGAUGAGAAACAGAAGGAAAGAGAGAAAGGGAGGCUAGCACAUGUUUAUCACAGGUUAAGAGUGCAAUAAACAUCACCUUAAUCUUUCUUUUCUCUAAUUGGCCUACUAUUAAUCUUGAAAUCUUGACCUCGGGACACUUCUCAAGGGCUGUCAUAAAACAUUAUUGUUUUUUCUGAAUUCAGCACUAAGUCAUGUUCAGAGAGAACUGUUUGUUAGUUCUUAGAGGGAAGAGUUAGUUUAUGACUUCUUAAAACAGGAUUAAUGCCUGAGGCCUAGUUUGCUCCAGAAGCACUGUGCUCCCGUAGCACCCUGUACUCUCCCAUCGUAACCCGGAAAGGGCUAGAUGCUAUCACUUGUUUCAAUUUCUGUCUUCCCUGCCUGGCUAUCAGUCCCCUGAAAUCAGGGAGAGUGUCUGUCCUGUUCGAUACCCACACCUAGCUUAUGCCUGCCCAUGCUAGCAAACCAAUAAAUGAUUGUAGGAAAAGCUAAAAGGAGCUAAGUUCAUGGGUGCUAGGUUUGAAAUGGGUUAUUAAAAAGCUGUAUGCAUUUCAGGUAUAUUUCCAUCUUUUUGAUAUUGAUGUGUAUAGGACAACCUGGCUCUCAAUGUUCUUCCCAUAGAAGGAAGAACCUUGGUCUUGCAGAACCAUUUGUUCUUUCAUUUACUUAACAAAAUACAUUUAGCAUCAACUACAUGCCAAGGAUUUUUCUAGGUGCUGGGAUAUAUACAGAAGUCACCUAAAGAGACCUAAGGUGACUCUAAGAGAUCACAUUCUAGUUGGAGAAAGCAGGCAACAAACACAUAUACAAUAUGCCCAGAUCUGUGAAGGAAGAUGAAGGUGGAUAACAGGGUGGGAAAAUGAGAGGGGUGCUGUUUUAGAUGGGAUCCUCAGAGAGGCCUCAGAUAAAGGGAAGUUUCAGCAAAGGCCUGCAGAAGUGAGGAACUGAGCCUGUGGGUAUCAGAGGAAGUAGAUUUGAAAUAGCAGGAUCAGCCAAAGUUGACUGUCAUCAUUGGCUUCCACUCUGAUGGUGGUUGGAAGUCACAGGGGUGAGGGUAACUGUUGGAGCCAGCAUGGUGAUUGUGAAGGGAGCCUCAUGCUUCUCAGUGCUCACUCAGGGCAACCCUGGCUCCUCUUUCAGGCAAAUGCAGGUGGAUAUGCUAGUCUUUGGGCAAGAGAAACAGGUGUGGCUUUAUUUUAUAUCUUGGCCAAUAUUCAUACAAGGUUUUUAACGAUGGAAAAUGCAAACCUGCAGGAACGAUUCCCACACUACCUGAAGGCCAAACACCUCUUUACAUUACCCAGGUUGCUGAAGGGCCUGGCCAUGACUCCUUGGCUCUGAGUGGGUACUGGCCAGGAAAACAGCUCUUGGGAGCCAGCGAAGGCAGAUGCCAGUCCCUGGCACCUCUAGUCCAUCACUGAUGAGGAACAGAAAAGUUAUGAUGGGGCAGGGGAACAUGACACUCGUCCACAGAGCACACACAGCAGCAGAGAGACAGUUAAUAUUCCAUCUAAAGGAUUUUUGAGGCUGCUUAGAGAGAGGACAUAUUUCCAAUUUCUCCUGAGAGGAGAAACUGUUGGGAAAGUUGCACCUUCAGUCAGUCCCCAGCUCACAGAGAAGAGCCUGAAAAAUCACACACGAGGAGAUGUGAAACAGAACAACGGAGCUGAGAGCUCCUCUGAGAAACUUGGAGGCGCAGUGGCAGCUGGAAAGCCUUGUUUUCCUCAGGUUUCCAAACUUCCCUCAACGAACUUCACUGUUGGUCUCCGUGUGGUGUGAAAUGAUUAAUUCUUUCAAAUGACACAUGGAGCCGCCGAGACCAGGGACAACUUUUCUCCAUUUUAGAACGAGCAAGAAAUGGAUUUCUGCCACUGCUUUCUGGUUGUUUUGUUUUGUUGUUGUUUUUAAAUCUGACCCUCCUCCCCAUCAAUAUUGACGCUGGAAAUUGAAAAUGGGCGAAUGAUGCUGUAUUUAUCUGGGGAAAGCUUGCCCUCAUUUACUGUUUUUAUUUUACACCCAAUUGCUUUGGCCAUGGGACACAGUCGUCUGCUGAUUUGAAGAGCCAAUAGCUGUAUAUUCACUUAUUCCCUAGUUCCAGAGGUGGUGCAGUGCUUGGGAAAAGUCUAGGAUGGAAAGAAAGCAUCCUAGACUAGGGUGCUAUGAGAAGGUCAACCAGGUUGAAUGGCUACUCUCUUUUGGAAUUCUCUCACAGAGUCUUGGGAAUUGUUCAUUGAUCCAAAAUUAUUUUUACUAACUGCUGAUAUGUACUGGGUGUCAGGGUUAUAUAAAUGGAUAAAAAUGUGAUCCUCAAAUUUUUUUUAUAUACAUAUAUAUAUAUAUUUUAUAGAGAUAGGUUCUUGCUAUGUUGCCCAGGCUAGUCUUGAACUCCUGAGCUCAAGUGAUCUGCCCACCUUGGCCUCUCAAAGUGUUGGGACUAUAGGCAUGAGCCAUGGCAUCUGGUCAAUCCUCAAUCUGAAGGACAUCAGAGAUUGGUAGGAUACCACAGUGAAAAUAGAAAACUGAGGAAACAGUGGUGUUGGUGGUGGUUAUCUGACUGCACUUUAUUUUUAAUUUUUUUUUAUUUUGAGACAGGGUCUUGCUCUGUCCCCCAAGCUGGAGUGCAGUGGUGUGAUCACAGAUCACUGCAACUGCUGCCUCCUGCGUUCAAGUAAUCCUCCUGCCUCAGCCUCCUGAGUAGCUGGGGCUAUAGGUAUAAGCCACCACGACCAACUAAUUUUUGUAUUUUUUGUAAAGACGGGUUUCACCAUGUUGCCCAGGCUGCUCUCAAACUCCUGAGCUCAAACGAUCUGGCCCCCCUCAGCCUCCCAAAGUGCUGGGAUUACAGGUGUGAGCCAUCGCACUGGCCUGCCUGCACUUUUUUUCCUUCCUCCUUCCCUCCCUCCUUCCCUCACUUUCUUCCUGCCUCUCUCCCUCCCUCAUUUCCUUCCUCCCUUCCUGCCUUACUUCCCCCUUCAUCACACAUUAUUGAGCACUUAGCCUGUGGCAAUUACCAAUUUACAAACACAUGAGACCAAGUCAUUAUCCCCAAUCCACCGGCUUUUUAGUAUCAGUCAAUAUUGAGUGAGAAAUGGUCAGCUUUAGAGGACCAUUGGCUCUCAAACUGUUAGUCCUUCAUUUUUCACUCCUUCAGCCACAGUCUCUAGAAAUAUCUCAGUGGACGGUGAAUGCUUCCUUAGGGCAGGAACCCAGGUUUUCUGACUCAUCUGUACCUCCUGUCUACCUGGCACAGCACAACAGCUCACUAAGUACUGAAUGAGUGAGUGAAUGAAUAAUAUAUUCAAAUCACCAUCAAGUGGCUGGGAGAUUUGACAAUCCACUGGAAAAUUGGAUCUUCAUAGGUGUCCACACCAGAUAACUCUAGCCACAGUUGGAAAUUUACUUUGGGGUUUGAAUUAUAUGCCAUACACAUAAUUCACUAAAAAUAUGUGGCUUUCCUGUCCAGGAGGUUCUGAGACCCAUCUAGGAAUGACAUUUACUCAAAGUAUUUUGGCAGUUGUUUUGGCAACUUCUUCCAUUUCUUGAAAGCUAGGUUUCAGAAGAGAGAAUAUUUUACUGACUCUCACAGGGAGGGUCCUGAUUAGGCCCAGAGGGAGCUCAGGGAUGUCCCAGGUGGAAUCUCCUAUGCCUACUGCCCAUGUUGACCCCAUGCCCUGCUGUGACAAGUCUGGACCUUUGGAUUCUGGUGGCUUCUCUGUGUCAUGUGGCCUGGUGUGGUGAAAAUGAUGGAAGAAAAUUGAAUGUGAAGUUAGGGGCUAUUAGAGCAAAUUGUGAAACCAGCUGUGUGAUCACGAGCCCUGUAUAGUUCCCUAUUGCUGCUGUAACAAAUUAUGACAAACAUAGUGGCUUCAAACAGCACAAAUGUAUUAUCUUACAAUUCUGGAUAGAAGGCCAAGAUGACUCUUAAGAGGCUAAAGCGAAGACGUCAACAGGGUCAGUUCCUUAUGGAAGCUCCAGUAGAGAAUUCAUUCUUUGCCUCUUUCACUUCUAGAGGCUGCCGGCAUUUCUUGGGUCCUGGCCACAUCCUUCCGGUCUCUGCUUCUGUGCUCACAGCACUUUCUUCUCUAUCAUAGGCAAAUCUUCCUCUGCCUCCAUCCUAUAAGGACCCUUGUCCUUAUAGAAGAGGAUAAUCUCUCCAUCACAAGAUCCUUAAUUCAAUCACAUCUGAAUGUCUUUUUUUGGUAUAUAAAGUAACAAUCGCAGGUUCCAAGAAAUAGGAUGUAGAAAUUUUGAAGGUGGGGGGUCAUUAUCUAGCUAAUAACAAGCCCUUUAAUCUUGAUGAAACUGUCCUCAUAUCCACAUAAAAUGAAAUAAAAAUUAAUAAUUAUUUAUGCUGUGUUCUAUAUCACUCUUCUACUGUAAAGACUAUUAAAACACACAGUUUUGGCCAGGUGCGGUGGCUCACACCUGUAACUCCAGCACUUUGAGAGGCCAAGGCGGGUGGAUCACCUGAGGUCAGGAGUUCAGGACUAGCCUGACCAACAUGGUGAAAUCCCAUCUCUACUAAAAAUACAAAAAUUAGCCAGGUGUGGUGGCGGGUGCCUGUAAUCCCAGCUCCUCAGGAGGCUGAAGCAUGAGAAUCUCUUGAAUCUGAGAGAUGGAGGUUGCAGUGAGCCAAGAUCACACCACCACACUCCAGCCCAGAUGAUAAUGAGACUCUGUCUUAAAAAACAAAACAAAACAAAAAACAAACAAAAAAACCCCCACAGUUUGUUAUUGUCUCUAGUACUACUCUACUAAAGGUAGUUGGACCCUGCUAUAUUUGACAGUCAAAGCAAGUUUAUGGUCCUCAAACAGAACUGUUUUAGUAAAUUCCCCCAUCCCCAUCUGGGCCUCAGUAAACUGGCCUAGCAAGAUUUGUUUGAUUGUUAUGUUUUUUUUUUAAGAUGCAACUGACAUCCUGUAAAGUACACAAAUCUUAGAUGCAGCUCAGUGAAUUUUUACAUGUGUUUUCUCUUGAGGAACCAGAUCCAGUUAUGGAAAAUUCCCAGCACCUUGAUAAGGUUUCCUCAUGUCUCUUCUGGACCAGUUCCCCCCAGGUUCAAGAUGGGGGGCCCCUGUUAUUGCAUCUUCACACAUGAUGUCCAAAGCAGGAAGACAGGAAGAGAAGCAAAAAGGGAUUUCUUCUUUGGCUACUAUCUCUUUUAUUGAGCAGGAUAAACCUGCCUCAGCAGACUGCUCCUAUGUUUCACUGACUGUGAGUCACAUGAUUCAUACCUACACAAGUCACUAGGAAAGAGCAGUAGAGAUGCCACAGUUGCCUUAGCCUGGCUGGAUUUGUUCCCUCAGGCUGGACCCAGAACCACCUGAUAAAACUCAGGAUUUAACAAACUAAGAAGGAUGCCAGCUCCAGGAAUGGGCUUAAGGAAACCUAUCUAUUUGCUUAAGGAUUGAGCUUGCCGUCCUGAUCCAGCCAACUCACCAACUGUGCUCCUUCCAUUCCAGUAUUCUCUCCCAGGAAAAAAUUUUUCUUCUACUAUGGUUCUGGCUUUGUGAUCUGUGUACAUUUAAUCAUUCGUGCAGAGCUUUAAAAUUUAUAGUGUGCUUCCAUGUGUAUUAUAAAAUUUGAAUGUUAAUUUUACAACGUGUUUGUACCAAUUUUAUCGCAGAGGACAGAAUUUAGGCCUAGGGAUGAUGUCUAAAAUCAUGCCACAAGAUGUGGUAACAUCAGAACCCUGGCUCAGGGCUUCUGACACUUUUCAGUGAGUUCUUCUUGAGGUAUUUGGCGCCAUUUGCUCUGUACUGAUCAGAGCAUCAAAAUCAGCAGGAUCAAAACAACAGCCAGCCAAUCUAGGCAAAAUCAUUGUACAGACAAUCAUUGGUGUGAACUGACUGAUCGUGCCAAUAGAAUUGACCCUCUUGAUUGUAUGGAUAUGGACAUUCUCAUGUAGGUAGCCAAGUGUCCUGGUGUACUUGGGACUGAGGGGCUUCCCAGAAUGUGGGACUUCCAGGUUUCAAACCAGAACGGUCCCAGUUUUCAAUUUUAGAACAGGAGAAGUCCCAAGAAAACCAGGGCAAGUUGGUCCCCUUAGUCUCAGCCUCUAUCUGCUACCAAACUGUGCUUUCCUGCAUUCUUUGCCCUACGAAGUUCACAAGCUCCCAGUUUUCUUAGCAAACCAACAAUGUGUCUACUUUUGUUUUGUAAAUGACUUUUUCACAUUUAAAAUAUCUAAAUUAAGAGAGCCACAGGUAUAUGUUAGAUAUUCUUUGCUUCUUCCACAGUUGAGAAUUUCCAUGGGAAAUUAGUAGAAAUAGUUUUCCUUGGUUGUGAGGAAAUGCAUGCAGGAAGACCUUGUAAAUUUUAUUUCUUUUCUUUUUCUGCUACCAAGCCCAAUGCAGGCACUUGGCAGCCAAUGUCAGCAGUUAACCAGUUGAGUUGAAUAUAUUUAAAGAUGUUCCAUCCCCUCCACUGGUUCUCUAUAGCUGGUCUUGGACAGUCUGUUAGAAAUCAUCUAGGACUCUUUAAAAAUAAAAACUGCCUGGGCUCUCCCCUGGGCCUAUAUUGGGCAGGAGGUGGGUAGGUAAGGGAAUAUGGAAUGGGUUUGGGGCCCAGGGACUUGCGCUUUUCACAAAGUUCCCCAUGUAAUUCCUGACAUGCUGCCAGCUUCACAAGCAACUGGCUAGAAUCUGUCAUUCAACCUUUUUGAGUGACAACUGAAAUUGUAAUUAUGCUGUUAAAAGAGAACCGUAUAAAAUUGCACAAUCGCUUGUCUUUGUCUUUCUUCCCUUCUCUCCCUUUUUCUCCCUUUCUUUUCCUUUUCUUUAGUGGGAUCAUUCAUAAGAACAUUGGGGGCAAUUUUGGGACAUGUUCAUGAAAGGAAACUUAUAGAUAUUUAAAGUGAAUUUAAACAUGCCUUCUAAAAACUCAGAAAGCUACUUGCUACUUAAUGUCUGUAGAGACAUAAGGCUUGAACAAAAUCUCAGAAUAAAGAGAUCUCUGGGUUCAUCCCCAGCAAGGGGACAUCUCUGGCUGUGUUAUUUACCUGCUGUUAUCUGUUACUGUCCUCCAGUCUACCCCGUCUCCAUGGUCUACACCCACGUGAGAAUCAGUGGACAGAAAGAGAUUUGAUUUACACUGCUCAUUAGGCUACCAGAGCCUCUUGGCUGAGCCAGGCGACCGAGAUGAAAAUUAGUGACAAAUCACAGCCCUGCUUCCUAUAAUGUGACAAAAGCAAGCCCCAUAGCAGUAAAGGUUCUCAUUAGGGCCCCUUUAAAUGCUCAGACUGAUUCUAUUUUUUAAGUCACCAGAAUAGUUAAUACAACGUGUGGGACAACACGAUUUCCAUUGGGGCGCAAUCAAAAAGAAAGCUACUUUCCAUACUUUCUUUAAUCUCUCUCCUCACAUCAACCUGAAGCAGAGCGGAGGUACCCCUGGGAUUCUUGCUCAUCAGCCCUGCCUCCUACAAAAGGGAGAUUUUUGCCUAGACAGCUCCAAAGAGUCUCGAUUCAAAGGUAAAACAAUUAGUACACAUUAAUCAUCACAAGGAUGGUACUAAAAGCAUAAUCCUCUUAGAACUGGAACAAAUUAAAUCCAAAGUAGCAACAUAAAAUCAAGCAGAAAAAACCACCAAGUGAAGGAAGCUGAGAGGACCCUGCUCUGAUGCUCCAAUUCCCAUUGCCUAAGAGGGUGCCCAAGCAUCCCUCAUCUUUGGUCUUUUCACAAAAACUACACUGCCUUCUUCAGCUGCCUGUAAAACUCAAAAGCUCUUUGUGCUGGGGCCAUGUAACCACCUCCUCAGAAAUCGUGAAGUUCUGUGAACACCUACGAGUUGGAAUUCCACAGGAUGGGAUCUGAUUGAUUUUCUAAAAGUGGACAGUUGCUCACAGAACCUGGAAUAAACCCACCAAGGACUUGUAUGGGAGGAGAAAAAAAAAAACAAAAAACCUUCUUUUUCUGCAAAGGAGAAUCUGCUUAAACUUCUAAAUGAGGCCUGGACUACGUUUGAUUUUGACAAGGAAUGGGUGCUCCCUUCGUACCCCACCUGAUGACCCCUGCCUCCUUUUGUUAGUGUUUUUCUGAGCUUCAGUCUGUGAGGCUGGGAAGAAAAGCCACGUAAUGAAAUAAGUAGUGCUGCCAACACCCUCUGUAACAACUGCCAGGCAUGUGGGAUGGGCCCAUCAAUAAGAAAGAUACAAUAUUAUCUUGAGGCCAAUGAUGAAUGUUUGAAAUCCAGGAAGGACAAAGGUAUCCUUCUCACUUUGUCUUGGGGUGUCUUUCAAGAGACUCUGGAUGUUCUCUUGAUUUCUUUCCCUCCUUCCUUUUCACAUUUUCCCAGGUUCCCAGCUAUAUACUAUAGUUUUCCUUGUUCUAGAAACAGUCUCAUUUCAAGUAUACACCUUUCUUCGUGGAAAUAACCAGGCUCUUUUUCUCUGAAUCUUCAGGGUGUCAGAGUAACAAUGGGGCACCAACAAACUCAUGAACUUCUCUCUUGUUCUCACAUAGCCUAACUGAUGCACUGUUAUGUGAGAAGACCUCCUUCCCACCAGAAGUGAGAGAGGGAGGGUCAGAGGAAAUUAAGAGAACACAGAGCCCAUCUUGCCACCAAAGGAACAUGGAACUUGCUAUGUUAUUUGCACACUAAAAGAGAAUUAUAAAAGAUAGGACCAUGCUUAAAACAAGGAAUUACUGGUGGACUUUCAUGUCAGUGUGGGAAAUAUUGGAGAUAAAUGUAUCUUCCCAGAACCCAUACAUCCUGCUUAUAAAAUUGGAACCUCUUCAGAUAUAAUCAGAUUCCUUACUAUGAGAGUAACCCAAUUUACAAAUCCAGUUCCUGUAAUUUAUGUUGAAGCUAUUAAUAUUUACUUGCCCAGAAUUUUUAACUAUCCAUUUUUUUUCUCAUCUUUCUCCACUUUCCUCCUCUCAGUAUACAACCACUGGAAACGAAUUACAUAAUGCUAGGAAAAAGGCCAAGGAGUCAUUGGCCUGAGUUGAGACUCAUCCUUGCAAACACCCCAGAGUUCUCCUAUCUCAGUGCUGUUUGUCUGUAGGAUGGAUUAGGGAGGUGUUCGUUUAUCCACCCACGGCAGAGUGCAGGUUAUGUGAUUGUGAACCUUGUGACAUUUCCAAGAUGGAACAUAUUCAGCUUUUGAUGAGAUUAUUAGCUUUCCCCUUGUCCGAGUCUAACAAAUGAAAACCAGAUUUGCAUGUAUAAAUAACAAUCAAGCGCUGAAAUGAUUUACUUAGUAAAGUUACUGUUUUGGAAACUAAAUCGAUGUGUCAUGUCAAGAUCUGAUCUGCCCUCCACUCACAUGGCAAAGGAGACUUCUCCAGGGUCUACUAGAAAAA
rnacentral:lncRNA from 1 species